UGGGGAAUAUUGGACAAUGGGCGCAAGCCUGAUCCAGCAAUGCCGCGUGAGUGAUGAAGGCCUUAGGGUUGUAAAGCUCUUUCGCACGCGACGAUGAUGACGGUAGCGUGAGAAGAAGCCCCGGCUAACUUCGUGCCAGCAGCCGCGGUAAUACGAAGGGGGCUAGCGUUGUUCGGAAUUACUGGGCGUAAAGGGCGCGUAGGCGGCCUGUUUAGUCAGAAGUGAAAGCCCCGGGCUCAACCUGGGAAUAGCUUUUGAUACUGGCAGGCUUGAGUUCCGGAGAGGAUGGUGGAAUUCCCAGUGUAGAGGUGAAAUUCGUAGAUAUUGGGAAGAACACCGGUGGCGAAGGCGGCCAUCUGGACGGACACUGACGCUGAGGCGCGAAAGCGUGGGGAGCAAACAGGAUUAGAUACCCUGGUAGUCCGCGCCGUAAACGAUGAAUGCUAGACGUCGGGGUGCAUGCACUUCGGUGUCGCCGCUAACGCAUUAAGCAUUCCGCCUGGGGAGUACGGCCGCAAGGUUAAAACUCAAAGGAAUUGACGGGGUCAUAGCUGUUUCCU
rnacentral:rRNA from 1 species